CAAAGGAGAGAGGGAAUCCAGCAGCAGGUGGGAGGGAGAGAGAAUGAAAAUGGGUUAAUGUUUACCUUUGUUUUCGGGCGCGGGGAUAUCUCCGUCCCUGCAGGGCAGAAGAGGACCGGAGCAACCUGUUGACUCAGUCCGAGCGUGAAGCAACACGCCUGAGAUCCUUCCGGGGGAAAAAAAAGGAGAAAAAAAGCCAGAGAGCCAACCCCACUAGAUGAACGGGUUCACCUCCAGCAGCCUUGAAAAAGUCAACUCGGCGGCUCUGCCAGACACCACAACAACACUGAGGCUCAUCAGUCGCCAUGGCACUCAUCUAUCGCUAAGAGCAAAGUUUGCUUUUUCACUGCUCAGACGUACACACACUCCCUUGCAAGAGCUCUCACACUCAUUUCUGCCUCCCUCCUAUGAAAACACGCGAUAAGAGAAUCCUCUGUGAGGGUCUUGGGUUUGUGUCUGGUUUCAAGAUAAAGGCCUCAACCUGCAACCGUGCUUUCUACAACAUCCCAUACACACAGCGCGGAGAGGGGGCAUCUGUUUGUAGAUAAACAACGGCCAGUUAAUCAUCAACAUUGAACCUUGCAGGUUUCAUAAUGAUAUUCACCAUAA